UAGGCAGAAGCCAGGUGGAUUUGGGCAUGUAGCUGUUAACUACAUUGUUAUGGGAUCAAAGCCCAUCUGUCUAG
rnacentral:tRNA from 1 species